rnacentral:rRNA from 1 species
GAAGUGAGUGGCGAACGGGUGAGUAACACGUGGGUAACCUGCCCAGAAGUAGGGGAUAACACCUGGAAACAGAUGCUAAUACCGUAUAACAGAGAAAACCGCAUGGUUUUCUUUUAAAAGAUGGCUCUGCUAUCACUUCUGGAUGGACCCGCGGCGUAUUAGCUAGUUGGUGAGGUAAAGGCUCACCAAGGCAGUGAUACGUAGCCGACCUGAGAGGGUAAUCGGCCACAUUGGGACUGAGACACGGCCCAGACUCCUACGGGAGGCAGCAGUAGGGAAUCUUCCACAAUGGACGCAAGUCUGAUGGAGCAACGCCGCGUGAGUG